rnacentral:rRNA from 1 species
UACGGGGGGAGCAAGCGUUGUUCGGAUUUACUGGGCGUAAAGGGCGCGUAGGCGGCCACGACAAGUCACUUGUGAAAUCUCCGGGCUUAACUCGGAACGGUCAAGUGAUACUGUCGGGCUAGAGUGCAGAAGGGGCAACUGGAAUUCUCGGUGUAGCGGUGAAAUGCGUAGAUAUCGAGAGGAACACCUGCGGCGAAGGCGGGUUGCUGGGCUGACACUGACGCUGAGGCGCGAAAGCCAGGGGGGCGAACGGG